rnacentral:rRNA from 1 species
UACGUAGGGUGCGAGCGUUAAUCGGAAUUACUGGGCGUAAAGCGUGCGCAGGCGGUUCGCUGUGUCCGAUGUGAAAUCCCCGGGCUCAACCUGGGAACUGCAUUUGUGACUGCAUAGCUAGAGUACGGUAGAGGGGGAUGGAAUUCCGCGUGUAGCAGUGAAAUGCGUAGAUAUGCGGAGGAACACCGAUGGCGAAGGCAAUCCCCUGGACCUGUACUGACGCUCAUGCACGAAAGCGUGGGGAGCAAACAGG